rnacentral:lncRNA from 1 species
GGGGACAAGGGGCAGGGCGAUCAGGGCCAGCUACAGAUUCUCACCUCACGGAGGCUGGCCAGGAGUAGGGCCACGCAAAUGCCGGGGCGGAGCAAGGCCAGAUAUAAGCGUGCAGGCAGAGAGAACAGUUUGUAGAAACUGAGACAGAGAAUAGACUAGGAGAAGAAAGAGAAAUGUUCAUUAUUUCUCUUUCUUGGGUCCCAUAGUGAAAUGUUCUUUGCCCUGUUUGAUCACGUGUCACAUUUAUUUUAGUUGCCUGUAUGUCUGUCUUUCACAUUCAACAAUAUUAAUACCAGAGUAUUCCUAGUUUCCUAGCCUUCUUCAUAGCACAUAGCUAUGAGCUUAGUAAGUUUUCAGUUACUUAAUAGAUUAUUAAUGUCCCAUCAAUAUAAAUGCUUUAAAACUAAAAUAAAAGUUGCCUCUAUCGUAUUGA